rnacentral:rRNA from 1 species
AAUUCGCCCUUAGAGUUUGAUCCUGGCUCAGGACGAACGCUGGCGGCGCGCCUAACACAUGCAAGUCGAACGAGCGAGAGAGAGCUUGCUUUCUCGAGCGAGUGGCGAACGGGUGAGUAACGCGUGAGGAACCUGCCUCAAAGAGGGGGACAACAGUUGGAAACGACUGCUAAUACCGCAUAAGCCCACAGGUCGGCAUCGACCAGAGGGAAAAGGAGCAAUCCGCUUUGAGAUGGCCUCGCGUCCGAUUAGCUAGUUGGUGAGGUAACGGCCCACCAAGGCGACGAUCGGUAGCCGGACUGAGAGGUUGAACGGCCACAUUGGGACUGAGACACGGCCCAGACUCCUACGGGAGGCAGCAGUGGGGAAUAUUGCACAAUGGGGGAAACCCUGAUGCAGCGACGCCGCGUGGAGGAAGAAGGUCUUCGGAUUGUAAACUCCUGUUGUUGGGGAAGAUAAUGACGGUACCCAACAAGGAAGUGACGGCUAACUACGUGCCAGCAGCCGCGGUAAAACGUAGGUCACAAGCGUUGUCCGGAAUUACUGGGUGUAAAGGGAGCGCAGGCGGGAAGACAAGUUGGAAGUGAAAUCUAUGGGCUCAACCCAUAAACUGCUUUCAAAACUGUUUUUCUUGAGUAGUGCAGAGGUAGGCGGAAUUCCCGGUGUAGCGGUGGAAUGCGUAGAUAUCGGGAGGAACACCAGUGGCGAAGGCGGCCUACUGGGCACCAACUGACGCUGAGGCUCGAAAGUGUGGGUAGCAAACAGGAUUAGAUACCCUGGUAGUCCACACCGUAAACGAU